rnacentral:rRNA from 1 species
AGCGAACGCUGGCGGCAGGCUUAACACAUGCAAGUCGAGCGGGCACUUUCGGGUGUCCGCGGCGGACGGGUGAGUAACGCGUGGGAACGUGCCCUCUGGUUCGGAAUAACUCAGGGAAACUUGAGCUAAUACCGGAUACGCCCUUUUGGGGAAAGGCUUGCUGCCGGAGGAUCGGCCCGCGUCUGAUUAGCUAGUUGGUGAGGUAACGGCUCACCAAGGCGACGAUCAGUAGCUGGUCUGAGAGGAUGAUCAGCCACACUGGGACUGAGACACGGCCCAGACUCCUACGGGAAGCAGCAGUGGGGAAUAUUGGACAAUGGGCGCAAGCCUGAUCCAGCCAUGCCGCGUGAGUGAUGAAGGCCUUAGGGUUGUAAAGCUCUUUUAUCCGGGACGAUAAUGACGGUACCGGAGGAAUAAGCCCCGGCUAACUUCGUG